rnacentral:snRNA from 1 species
CAUCUUACCUGGCAAGGUGGAGAUACCAUGAUCACGAAGGUGGUGUUUCCCAGGCGAGGCUAUCCAUUGCACUCGGCGGAUUGUGCUGACGCCCUGCGAUUUUCCGCAAAUGUGGGAAACUCGACUGCAUAUUUGUGGUAGCUGGGGACUGCGUUCGCGCUUUCCCCUG